rnacentral:lncRNA from 1 species
GACACAAAACUUAAUUUAAUAGAAAUUUUGUUUGUAGUUCUUACAUUCUCAGUGUGACCUGAGCUGGAACCCACUGCCCCACCCAGAAGUGGCCCAGUCCUGGGAGCAGGGGAGGAAGGGAGGUGGUGAGUAGGGGUCAGAGCUCAGGCCCUAGGAGCCCUGUUCUUCCUCAGUGCUGGGGGGCUGGGGAUGCCACCCUCUUCUCCUGCCCCCCUUUGGGAUCCAGGAAGGAGAGCAGAUGGAGUCUCGGGCCUGGGGCUUCUCUUCUACAUUCCCCUGCCCCCUCAGGUUGGAGGGGAACUAAGGGAUCUGGGGAGAGAAGGGGACAGAAGAAGGCAAAGAUGUCAAUCAAGAAAGAAGAGGAUCAGGAAUAAGGACUAAGGAGAAUCAAAGACAAA